GCGACAGAAGAAGCACCGGCUAACUCCGUGCCAGCAGCCGCGGUAAUACGGAGGGGUGCGAGCGUUAAUCGGAAAUUACUGGGCGUAAAGCGCAUGCAGGUGGUUUGUUAAGUUCAAGAUGUGAAAGACCCCGGGGCGUCAACCUCGGAAUAGCAUUUGUAAACUGGCAGACUAGAGUACUGUAGAGGGGGGUAGGAAUUUCAGGUGUAGCGGUGAAAUGCGUAGAGAUCUGAAGGAAUAACCGGUGGCGAAGGCGGCCCCCUCGGACAGAUACUGACACUCAGAUCGCGAAAGCGUGGGGAGCAAACCAGGAUUAGAUACCCUCGGUAG
rnacentral:rRNA from 1 species